GAUGAAGAACGUAGCGAAAUGCGAUAAGUAGUGUGAAUUGCAGAAUUCAGUGAAUCAUCGAGUCUUUGAACGCACAUUGCGCCCUCUGGUAUUCCGGAGGGCAUGCCUGUCCGAGCGUCAUUGCUGCCCUCAAGCACGGCUUGUGUGUUGGGCCCCCGUCCCCCCCUCUGCCGGGGGGACGGGCCCGAAAGGCAGCGGCGGCACCGCGUCCGGUCCUCGAGCGUAUGGGGCUUCGUCACCCGCUCUUGUAGGCCCGGCCGGCGCCAGCCGACCCCAACCCUAAAUUUUUUUCAGGUUGACCUCGGAUCAGGUAGGGAUACCCGCUGAACUUAAGCAUAUCAAUAAGCGGAGG
rnacentral:misc_RNA from 1 species